GGGGAUAUAGCUCAAUGGUAAAAUAUUUGCCUAGGAUGCAAGAGAUCCUGGGUUCAAACGCUAGUAACCCCC
rnacentral:tRNA from 2 species